rnacentral:hammerhead_ribozyme from 1 species
AAGCGAAACCGCCGGAAGGCGGUCUGCCCAGCGUGGUUGCUGGGUACUGAUGAGCAGCCGGAG